UUGGGUAGAACAUGGGUAGAUAGUUGGUGUGUAAUAAACAGAUGAGAGGCCUCGAUGUUGUUGUUGUUGUUGAUCUAGUUAUUCAGCGGAGUAUGGAUAACGACCACGGACUCUUUCUAGACAGUCCAGUGGAACGCUAGCAGGUUCAUAACCUGUAGGUGUUGUGAACGAUGUGUUCACCGGUGUACUCUAUCCCCCUCAUGGUUGCCUUUAGGAUAUCUAUUGUUGAGGAAACCCCUUCGCAGUGAUGUCCGUCCCGAUGAAAAUCCUAGAUUAGGUCCCUUGAGAUAGUUGUUUUAGGGACGUAAAGUGAGGAUAACGGGAAUGGGUAAUCGGGAUAGUGAUUGGUUGGUGAAAUUAAAUAUAACUUAUUUAUUGUGGGUUGAAAACCCUAUAUGCUCACCAGGCUCCCAAGCCUGACCCACUCAGUUUUAUUUGUAUUACAGGAAGUGGCACAAGGGCGUAAGAUGGAUGGAUCAUCUUGUUGUUUUGUUUACAAGUCUGUAUAUGUAUAUAUUUGUUGAAUGACUUGUAAUGUUUAUCGUUUAUGCUUUAUGGUCUGUAUCGGAACAUGACAUCCCGAGUUUUGAUUAUAUAAUGAAAUGCAUCUCUUGAUGAAAUGCUUUGAUAAAUAUUAUUUUAUCAUGUUUUGUUUUGGGAACAAAUUCCGCAACUCUUUCAAAUCAAAAGGAUUUACUCUGAAAAUAUUUAAAAGCAUAAAUGAAAAUCGGUCUUUUCUGGCCGAGAUUUUGGGGAUGUCACAGUUGGUAUCAGAGCAUUAGUUUAAGCGAACUAGGAAUUUGUAGGAUUUCUAGACUUAAACUUAGAAUGCUAAAUGGAAUGAUGAGAUGUGUGUCUGUUGGAUUUUAGACACGAGCACUAGUUUAUUUUAGGAAAGUUGCCUAAAAUGUUUUAUGUGCUAAAUGUUAUAUGUUGCCAUAUAUGAUAUUAUUUGUUCGGAUCUACGGUCUGUUGCCGACCGGAUCUGGAAACCUUAUGUGUGUAGGAUUCUAAGCGUAUGCCUACGUUAUUAGAACUAGCAUGUAAACGUUUCGGAGUGAUAAGGAUGAUUUGAAUAUCUAUCGUGAAUGAGGAUCUAAUUUCACCUUAUUCGGUGUGUAGAUCAAAAAUGGUGAGAACAAGGAGUGGCGUUGGAAACGCGGAUGAAAACAGGAAUCAACCGCCAGUGAUUGAGCAAAUACCUGUUGUAGCAGCAGCACCAGAACCAAUAACAAUGGCUGCGGUGCAAGCCAUGAUUCGGGCUAUGCUAGCCGAACAAAGGGAGGAGAUGCGACAAAUGUUGCAUAAUAAUAGGGAUGAACCUAUCAUACCUAUUGAGGAACCGGAAUUGAUUCCCGAGCAAUCGGAGGAAGGGAACAAUAGUCGCAUGGUGAGUCAAGUUGGGACUCAAGAGGAACGAAGGAACGAUCCGGAAAGGAGAAACAACAAGGAUGGGCGUAUGUACAAGAAUUUCUUGGGCGCCAAACCGCCAAGUCUUUCUGGGAGCCCAAAGCCUGUUGAGAUAAUGGAUUGGAUCUCCGAAAUGGAGAUGGUAUUUGAAAGUUGCGACUGUAGCAACAAACAGAAGACCGUCUUUGCGGUUAGACAACUGAAGACUGGAGUCUUGAGUUGGUGGAAGUUGUUGGCAGAUACUAUGCCACGAGGAGAAGCCCUGAAAAUGUCAUGGGAGGAGUUCUUGGAACAGCUAAGGGUGCAGUAUUGUUCAGAGAUAGAUCUGAUUGAUCUGAACAAUGAGUUCCAAAACUUGAAGAAAGGGAAGAUGAGCAUAGAUGACUAUGCUACUGCAUUUACUGAGAAGAUGAAGUUGUUUCCGUACCUAGUGCCGACGGAACUCUCCAAGAUUGAGAGGUUUGCUAACGGACUGCCUGCUGACUUUGGUCCGACAGUCAAAAUGGCAACCACUCUGAAAACGGCUGUUCGUGCAGCUAAGAAUGUGGAGGCCCAGCAGAAGGAAAAGGGUCUGGAAAGAAUAGAUGUUGGAGAAAAGAGGAAGUUCGAUGGAACUUCAGGGUCCAACAAGAAAAACAAGUUCUCGAAGUCUGGUUCGAGGGGAGGUGGAGGUGAAGCGAAAUGGUGCGACAAAUGUAAGAAGAAGCAUCAUGGAAGAUGUGAGGUGGCGAACACAUGCUACAAGUGUGGAAAGCCAGGGCACUAUGCCAAUGAGUGUACCCUCACAAAGAAAGUUUGCUAUGGUUGUGGUGAGGAGGGUCAUAUGUCGAGGGACUGCCCGAAGAAGAAGGAGGCAGCUAGACCCAACAUUCCGCCAAAGCCAAAGGCGAGAGCAUUCCAGAUGACACUGGAAGCUGCUAAAGAUGAAGCUGAUGUCGCUUCAGGUACCUUUCUCGUUAACGAAUUGCCUGCCCAAAUUUUAUUUGAUUCUGGAGCCAACUACUCCUUUAUAUCGCAUGAAUUUGGUAGAAAGCUAGCUUUGCCUGUUGUUAGACUAGAUAAUGCUUUAUUAGUCGAAGUUGCUAGUGGCAAGUUUGUACCUGUUAGCUAUCGCAUGAAAAACAUCUUAAUUGAUCUGAAUGGGAAUAAGUUCCACGAGGAAUUAUUGCCUAUCGAACUUAAUGGUUUCGACAUCGUAUUGGGAAUGGAUUGGCUUAGCGCCAACGACGCCGAAAUUUUAUGCAAGAAGAAAAUAGUCAAAGUAAACCCGCCUGGGAAAGAUUCGUUUAUGGUGUAUGGAGAUAAACGCAGAGUGAAUUCUGGAAUCAUUUCAUUGAUGAAAGCCAGAAAAUGUUUGACCAAGGGGUGUACAUCGUAUUUAGCAUUCGUGAUUGAUGCUAAGAAGGAAAAGAAGGUGAUGCAGAAUAUUCCAGUGGUGUGUGAUUAUCCGGAAGUAUUUCCCGAAGAUCUUCCUGGAUUACCGCCUGAUCGACAAGUGGAAUUCCGUAUUGACUUGUUGCCAGGAACCACGCCAAUUGCAAAAGCACCUUAUCGAUUAGCACCGACGGAGAUGAAGGAGCUAAUGAUGCAACUUCAGGAGUUAUUGGACAAAGGUUUCAUUAGACCUAGUUCAUCGCCCUGGGGAGCUCCGGUGUUAUUUGUAAAGAAGAAAGAUGGAAGUAUGAGAAUGUGCAUCGAUUACAGAGAGCUGAACAAGGCAACAAUAAAGAAUAGAUAUCCGUUGCCGAGGAUUGAUGACCUGUUUGAUCAAUUGCAAGGUUCGAGCUAUUUCUCGAAGAUCGAUCUUAGGUCAGGAUAUCAUCAGCUAAAAGUAAGAGAGCAAGAUAUCGAGAAGACUGCAUUCAGAACUAGAUAUGGACACUACGAGUUCUUGGUUAUGUCGUUUGGACUAACCAAUGCUCCAGCAGCGUUCAUGGAUUUGAUGAAUAGGGUUUGUAACCCGUUCCUUGAUAAAUCCGUGAUAGUGUUCAUAGACGACAUUCUGAUUUACUCGAAAAGCCAGGAGGAGCAUGGCAGACACUUGCGAGAAGUGUUAGAAGUCUUGAAGAAGGAGAAGCUGUAUGCUAAGUUCUCCAAAUGUGAUUUUUGGAUUCGUGAAGUCCAAUUCUUGGGUCACGUGGUCAACCAAGAAGGGAUAAUGGUUGAUCCAGCGAAGAUCGAAGCUGUGACGAAGUGGGAACAACCGAAAAGUCCCACGGAGAUUCGAAGCUUUUUAGGAUUAGCCGGAUAUUACCGAAGGUUUAUCCAAGGCUUUUCUUCGAUCGCUAGUCCAUUGUCAGCUUUGACCCACAAAGGAGCUACUUAUGCUUGGGGUGAGAAGCAUAAGGAAGCAUUUGAGAAGCUAAAGAAGAAGCUAUGCGAGGCACCGAUACUUUCUCUACCCGAUGGAGUUGAAGACUUCGCUGUCUAUAGCGAUGCGUCUGGUGUUGGAUUGGGUUGUGUUUUGACCCAAAGAGAAAAGGUGAUAGCAUAUGCGUCUCGACAGCUGAAAGAGCAUGAAAAGAAUUACCCGACUCAUGAUUUGGAGUUGGCAGCGGUAGUUUUCGCUCUGAAAAUAUGGAGGCAUUACCUCUAUGGCACGAAGUGCAAACUUUUCACUGAUCAUAAGAGUCUCCAAUACCUCUUUAAUCAGAAAGAAUUGAAUAUGAGGCAACGACGCUGGCUAGAAUUACUUAAAGACUAUGACUGCGAGAUACUUUACCACCCCGGUAAAGCUAAUGUUGUUGCUGAUGCUCUCAGUCGGAAAGUCAAUCCCGAAAGGAAAAGGCCAAGAGCGUUGAGAAUUGAAGUUGUCUCAACUAUUUUGGAAAGUAUAAAGAAAGCUCAGAGCGAAGCUUCUGAGAAGAAUGACAGAAAGGAGGAACGUUUGGGCAAAACGUUGGUGUUCGGUGUAAACAGUCAUGGACUGAAGGUGUUCCAAGAUCGGAUUUGGAUACCUAAGACAGGAGGAGUCAGAGAUCUUCUGAUGGAAGAAGCUCACAAGACCAUGUACUCGAUUCAUCCGGGUAGCACUAAAAUGUAUAGGGACCUGAAACCCUACUACUGGUGGCCGACGAUGAAGCUUGAUGUUGCAAAGUAUGUGGCCGAGUGUGUGACUUGUGCGAGAGUCAAGACACAACAUCAGAAACCGUACGGGAGUUUAGAACCUUUGCCUGUGCCUAUGGGUAAGUGGGAAGACAUUGCUAUGGAUUUUGUCACUAAACUGCCCAGAACAAAGAAUGGUCACGACAUGAUUUGGGUGGUCGUUGAUCGAUUCACUAAGAGUGCGCAUUUCAUAGCGGCCAGGGAGAAAUGGUCUAUGGAGAAGCUUGCGAAUUCUUACGUGAAGGAAAUUGUGAGGCUUCACGGUGUUCCGUUAACGAUUGUGUCGGAUCGUGAUAGCCGUUUCACAUCGAGGUUUUGGAAAAGUCUACAAGAGGAAUUGGGUACCAAGUUGUGUUUAAGUACAGCUUACCAUCCGCAGACUGAUGGUCAGAGCGAACGAACGAUACAAACACUUGAAGAUAUGCUGAGAGCAUGUACUCUGGAAUUCCUAGGUAAUUGGGAUGAACAUUUACCGUUGGUAGAAUUUUCCUAUAAUAAUAGUUUCCACUCGAGCAUUAAGAUGGCACCUUACCAAGCUUUGUAUGGACAGAAGUGUCGUACGCCGUCUUGUUGGCUUGAGGCUGGGGAAAAGCAGUUUAUGGGACCGGAGUUGGUUCAUCAAACUGCUGAAAAGUUGAAAAUAAUUAGGGAAAGAAUGUUAGCAGCUCAAGAUCGUCAAAAGAGCUAUGCUGACAAGAAGCGAAGACCGAUGACUUUUGAGGUUGGAGAUUCGGUUUUGCUUAAAGUCUCGCCGUGGAAGGGACUUAUAAGAUUUGGUAAAAGGGGAAAGUUGAGUCCAAGGUUUAUUGGACCGUUUAAAGUUCUUCAGAGGAUUGGGAACCAAGCUUACAAGCUCGAAUUACCCGAAGAACUGAAUGGAAUUCACAACACUUUUCAUGUGUGUUAUUUGAGGAAGUUCACGGGAGAAGUUCCCGACAUAAUUCCAAUUUCUGAAUUGAGAAUUGAUGAGAACAAAAGGUUGAUUGAAGAACCAGAGGCAAUUGUUGACCGAAAGACUAAGAAAUUGCGACGCAAGAUGGUUGGGUUAGUGCUUGUCCGAUGGAAACACACGAAUGGGCCGAAUCUCACCUGGGAGACGGAGAGUGACAUGAUGGGUCGCUAUCCGCAUUUGUUUGUUGAUGUGUGAUUCCGGGGACGGAAUCAUUCUAAGGUGGAGAGAAUUGUAACGCCUGUGUUUCCGGGCUUGCCAUUUUUAGCAAUAUAAUAGUCUAGGUUAACCUUUGUAACCCGUUUUGAAAUAAUAAGAAUGUAUUAUUUGAGUAUUAUGUGUUUUGUGCUUAAUUGCUUAAUUAUGUGGUCUGAUUAAUUAAGAAUAAAAAUAAGCGUCAAAAUUUAAGUGUAAAAUAAACUUAAUAUCUUUGGUUAAUGUUGUAGUAGUCGAAACGAGGUUUCCGAAUAUAUAUAGAACGCCCAAAUCUGACUUCGUAUGAGGAAGUUAUGAUUUAUCGAAGUUCCGGCUUAGCGGUAUACAGCCUGUUAUACUCGAAUUGAGAUCGAGCGGUUGUUAGCCGAAGCAAUCUAAAUGAGAAUCGAAGAUCUCAUUGUUGGUAUCGAAGCGAUAAAAAGUUAGGCGAGAACGGACGUCAAACGAAGAAGUUAUGAAUUUAUAACGAAAGUUUCUGUCGCGGCCUAUUAAAAAUAAUUAAUAAAAAUAAAGUCAAAAUUAGCCGACGGAGUCUAAACGAAAGUCGUAGAGCAUGGUCUCACCUUUCCGUGGAUAUAAAGAACGUCGAAAACGGAGUUCGUAUGAAGAAGUUAUGAAUUUCCGAAGUUUAUUAAUCAUUUUGUAUUUUUAUUUAAUUCAAAAUCGGAGGCAUUAUCCGAAGCCGUGUCACCGGUGUAAUCCGGAGUACGCCCCGCGUACGAGGUUACGCUAUCGCGUAACUCCGAUAGUGUCGACACUUCGGAUGACGCAUGCAAUGACGAUUUCGGACGCGUACGCGCUGCGUACGCCUGUACGCCCCGCGUACUCCGAGGUUCCAGCCUCUAUAUAAAGGAUCCGAAGGCAGCCUCAUUUGUUGUUCAAUUUCUUCUCUUCUCUCUAGUCUUUUGCAUCGUUUUUCGUGCCGAAGCUACCCCGAAGCCCCGGUAUCAUACUCUAGCCCCGAGGCAAGUCCCGAGAUCCCGAAGAUCCCGAGAAGCGCGGUUCCCGAGUCGAAGCUCUGCCCGCGAGAAGUUCGAUUUUCGAGGAGAUCUUCCAGAUCUGCUGUGGAUUACUACUUCUAUAAGCCGUAGUGCUGUCGGAUCGUCUUCUGAUCAAGUGAGUGUGUAGUUAUUUCUUCUAAUACAAUAAUACGAAGUAUUUUAUAUAAAAAUACGUGCUAUGUGUAUAUAUUUGGUUGUGUUAUGUGUGAAUGAGUAUUCACUCUCUUCUAUCUUAUAGAUCUGCUUAUUUCUUUAUGAGAUAUGUGUUAUGUGUGUGUGCCUCAUCUGUUAUGUGACAUAUGUGUUGAUUAAAGCAUGCUAUACAGGUUUUUUUUAAACUACGUAGUAUGAAAAUAUAUAUUUUUAUCUACUAAUAUGUUGGGUAGAACAUGGGUAGAUAGUUGGUGUGUAAUAAGAUGAGAGGCCUCGAUGUUGUUGUUGUUGUUGUUGAUCUAGUUAUUCAGCAGAGUGUGGAUAAAGACCAUGGACUCCUUCUAGACAGUCCAGUGGAAUGCUAGCAGAUUCAUAACCUGUAGGUGUUGUGAACGAUGUGUUCACCGGUGUACUCUAUCCCCCUCAUGGUUGCCUUUAGGAUAUCUAUUGUUAAGGAAACCCCUUCGCAGUGAUAUCCGUCCCGAUGAAAAUCCUAGAUUAGGUCCCUUGAGAUAGUAGUUGUUUUAGGGACGUAAAGUAAGGAUAACGGGAAUGGGUAAUCGGGAUAGUGAUUGGUUGGUGAAAUUAAAUAUAACUUAUUUAUUGUGGGUUGAAAACCCUAUAUGCUCACCAGGCUCCCAAGCCUGACCCACUCAGUUUUAUUUGUAUUACAGGAAGUGGCACAAGGGCGUAAGAUGGAUGGAUCAUCUUGUUGUUUUGAUUACAAGUCUGUAUAUGUAUAUAUUUGUUGAAUGACUUGUAAUGUUAUCGUUUAUGCUUUAUGGUCUGUAUCGGAACAUGACAUCCCGAGUUUUGAUUAUAUAAUGAAAAUGCAUCUCUUGAUGAAAUGCUUUGAUAAAUGUUAUUUUAUCAUGUUUUGUUUUGGGAACAAAUUCCGUAACUCUUUCAAAUCAAAAGGAUUUACUCUGAAAUUAUUUAAAAGCAUAAAUGAAAAAUCGGUCUUUUCUAGCCGAGAUUUUGGGGAUGUCACACAAGAGCAGUAAAAGUUAAAGUCAUUUUGGAAUUGG
rnacentral:lncRNA from 1 species